rnacentral:lncRNA from 1 species
AGAAAUUAACUUGAAUGACAACUUGAUUGUCUUAACCUUUUCUGCGAUACAUUGGCUAAGGGAAUAUUUCAUGAUCUUGGGCCUUUCUUCGAAGCGAUCAACAUUGCCCCCAAGCGUUCUUAACUUGAUGAAGCAUUUCAGCAAAGAUUCAUUCUUCAUAGGAUCUGCAAUGUGGCAAGAGGUGCAGGCAUUGGCUAUCCUCUCGUAGGAUACCCAAAUUGUUUUUGUUCUCUUUUUUUUUGUUUCUUUUUUGCGUUUUUUUUUUUGUUUUUUUUUGUUUUUUUUUGUUUUUUUGACACACACAUAACAUUGGAUACGCAAUGAUGUAUGGUACACGAUCUUUGCUGCCAAGAAAACAUGUCAUUUAAACUUUUUCUCCCCGGAGCAUGCAUAAGGUUGCACUUAUUCAUUUGCCCCUUUCAUCUUUGGUUUACAUUGCAGUAGUUCACUCAGGGGACAUGUGGCAUUCAAGGUACCCUUCCUCAUGCGAGAGAUGAACCACAUAUGGAAUACUGGUAAACAACAUAACAUCUUCCCGACCUUUAGCUCAUGACACUGAUUAAGAGUCCCAUAAAUUUCAGUUAGGACAACCAAGACUGGAUUCUCAGAGCAAACUUUGUAUCCCACAAAUGCAUUCAUGGCGGCAUAGUCGACCAACUCGCUGGUAUUAGGAAAGAGCAUGACACCAUAGUGGAUAAGAGCUAGUACAUUCAUGAAAGUUUCCCGCUUUUCCUCUGUGGUUAAUCAAUGUAAAAACCACUCUAGGCAUCCUUGAGCUAGUAUGAAUUCGCUUUCCAAUUUUAUAGGGUGCAUUUUUGUGAUUCUCGUUAGCUGCAAGACAAGGGUAUAUUGCCCAAGGUGAUUGUUUGGAUCUUUG